UCUGCUCUUUCGGUCCACAAUAACGACCGAUACUUUCUCAUAGGACAUAUCAUCCUCGGUGAAAGAGACUCGUGGACCAAAACGUGAGAGGGGUCCGGGUUGUACUUGUAUAGCAUGGACACAUGAAACACAUUAUGGACCCUGAAAAGUUCUAGAGGCAGUGCCAUUCUGUAGGCGGCGGUACCAAUUCUGUCCAAGAUUUCAAAUGACCCAAUAAACUGGGGAUUCAACUUCUCCCUCUU
rnacentral:lncRNA from 1 species